rnacentral:rRNA from 1 species
AACGCUGACAGAAACGCCUUAACACACGCAAGUUCUUUCGGCGAAAUUCCGCGCUUCGCACAGGCUAGCCAAGGCGGACGGGCGAGUAACGCGUAAAGAACUUCGCCCCCGCAGAACAGGGAUAACAGACGGAAACGACCGACAACACCUGAUACAGUUCGCCGGCACGCAUCGUCGCCUGGCAAUGAAAAGAGAUGCUGCGGGAGAGCUUUGCGUCCUAUUAGCUUGUUGGCGGGGUAACGGCCCACCAAGGCGAUGAUAGGUAGCCGGCCUGAGAGGGUGAACGGCCACAAGGGGACUGAGAUACGGCCCUUACUCCUACGGGAGGCAGCAGUGGGGAAUAUUGGACAAUGGGGGCAACCCUGAUCCAGCAAUUCUGUGUGCACGAGGAAGGUUUUCGGAUUGUAAAGUGCUUUCAGCAGGGAAGAAGGAAGUGACGGUACCUGCAGAAGAAGCGACGGCUAAAUACGUGCCAGCAGCCGCGGUAAUACGUAUGUCGCAAGCGUUAUCCGGAAUUAUUGGGCAUAAAGGGCAUCUAGGCGGCCAGGCAAGUCUGGGGUGAAAACUUGCGGCUCAACCGCAAGCCUGCCCUGGAAACUGCCUGGCUAGAGUGCUGGAGAGGUGGACGGAACUGCACGAGUAGAGGUGAAAUUCGUAGAUAUGUGCAGGAAUGCCGAUGAUGAGGAUAGUUCACUGGACGGCAACUGACGCUGAAGUGCGAAAGCUGGGGGAGCGAACAGGAUUAGAUACCCUGGUAGUCCCAGCCGUAAACGAUGAUUACUGGGUGUGGGCAUGAAGAGUGUCCGUGCCGAAGCAAAAUGCGAUAAGUAAUCCGCCUGGGGAGUACGGCCGCAAAGGCUGAAAACUCAAAAGGAAAUUGACGGGGACCCGCACAAGCGGUGGAGCAUGUGGUUUAAUUCGACGCAAACGCGAGGAACCUUACCAGAUCUUGACUUCCCACGUAUGCCCGCGAGAGGCGGGCAGUGCUCUUUCGGGAAACGUGGAGAACAGGUGGUGCAUGACUGUCGACAGCUCGUGUCGUGAGAUGUUGGGUUAAGUUCCCGCGAACGAGCGCAACCCCUAUCGCCGGUUGCCAUCAUUAAAGUUGGGGACUCUGGCGAGACUGCUCUGCGAAAGAGGCGGGAGGAAGGUGGGGAUGAACGUCGAAGUCGUUCGUGCCCCUUAUGAUUCUGGGCUACGCGCGUGCUACGAUGGC